GGUUAAGCGACUAAGCGUACACGGUGGAUGCCCUGGCAGUCAGAGGCGAUGAAGGACGUGCUAAUCUGCGAUAAGCGUCGGUAAGGUGAUAUGAACCGUUAUAACCGGCGAUUUCCGAAUGGGGAAACCCAGUGUGUUUCGACACACUAUCAUUAACUGAAUCCAUAGGUUAAUGAGGCGAACCGGGGGAACUGAAACAUCUAAGUACCCCGAGGAAAAGAAAUCAACCGAGAUUCCCCCAGUAGCGGCGAGCGAACGGGGAGCAGCCCAGAGCCUGAAUCAGUGUGUGUGUUAGUGGAAGCGUCUGGAAAGGCGCGCGAUACAGGGUGACAGCCCCGUACACAAAAAUGCACAUGCUGUGAGCUCGAUGAGUAGGGCGGGACACGUGGUAUCCUGUCUGAAUAUGGGGGGACCAUCCUCCAAGGCUAAAUACUCCUGACUGACCGAUAGUGAACCAGUACCGUGAGGGAAAGGCGAAAAGAACCCCGGCGAGGGGAGUGAAAAAGAACCUGAAACCGUGUACGUACAAGCAGUGGGAGCACGCUUAGGCGUGUGACUGCGUACCUUUUGUAUAAUGGGUCAGCGACUUAUAUUCUGUAGCAAGGUUAACCGAAUAGGGGAGCCGAAGGGAAACCGAGUCUUAACUGGGCGUUAAGUUGCAGGGUAUAGACCCGAAACCCGGUGAUCUAGCCAUGGGCAGGUUGAAGGUUGGGUAACACUAACUGGAGGACCGAACCGACUAAUGUUGAAAAAUUAGCGGAUGACUUGUGGCUGGGGGUGAAAGGCCAAUCAAACCGGGAGAUAGCUGGUUCUCCCCGAAAGCUAUUUAGGUAGCGCCUCGUGAAUUCAUCUCCGGGGGUAGAGCACUGUUUCGGCAAGGGGGUCAUCCCGACUUACCAACCCGAUGCAAACUGCGAAUACCGGAGAAUGUUAUCACGGGAGACACACGGCGGGUGCUAACGUCCGUCGUGAAGAGGGAAACAACCCAGACCGCCAGCUAAGGUCCCAAAGUCAUGGUUAAGUGGGAAACGAUGUGGGAAGGCCCAGACAGCCAGGAUGUUGGCUUAGAAGCAGCCAUCAUUUAAAGAAAGCGUAAUAGCUCACUGGUCGAGUCGGCCUGCGCGGAAGAUGUAACGGGGCUAAACCAUGCACCGAAGCUGCGGCAGCGACGCUUAUGCGUUGUUGGGUAGGGGAGCGUUCUGUAAGCCUGUGAAGGUGUGCUGUGAGGCAUGCUGGAGGUAUCAGAAGUGCGAAUGCUGACAUAAGUAACGAUAAAGCGGGUGAAAAGCCCGCUCGCCGGAAGACCAAGGGUUCCUGUCCAACGUUAAUCGGGGCAGGGUGAGUCGACCCCUAAGGCGAGGCCGAAAGGCGUAGUCGAUGGGAAACAGGUUAAUAUUCCUGUACUUGGUGUUACUGCGAAGGGGGGACGGAGAAGGCUAUGUUGGCCGGGCGACGGUUGUCCCGGUUUAAGCGUGUAGGCUGGUUUUCCAGGCAAAUCCGGAAAAUCAAGGCUGAGGCGUGAUGACGAGGCACUACGGUGCUGAAGCAACAAAUGCCCUGCUUCCAGGAAAAGCCUCUAAGCAUCAGGUAACAUCAAAUCGUACCCCAAACCGACACAGGUGGUCAGGUAGAGAAUACCAAGGCGCUUGAGAGAACUCGGGUGAAGGAACUAGGCAAAAUGGUGCCGUAACUUCGGGAGAAGGCACGCUGAUAUGUAG
rnacentral:rRNA from 1 species